rnacentral:rRNA from 1 species
UACGUAGGGGGCAAGCGUUGUCCGGAAUCAUUGGGCGUAAAGAGCGUGUAGGCGGCUCGGUAAGUCCGCUGUGAAAGUCCAGGGCUCAACCCUGGAAUGCCGGUGGAAACUGUCGAGCUUGAGUCCGGAAGAGGCGAGUGGAAUUCCUGGUGUAGCGGUGAAAUGCGUAGAUAUCUGGAGGAACACCGGUGGCGAAGGCGGCAUCCUGGACCAAUACUGACACUGAGGAGCGAAAGCCAGGGGAGCAAACGGG